rnacentral:rRNA from 1 species
AGCGAACGCUGGCGGCAGGCCUAACACAUGCAAGUCGAACGGAUCCUUCGGGAUUAGUGGCGGACGGGUGAGUAACACGUGGGAACGUGCCCUUUGGUUCGGAACAACUCAGGGAAACUUGAGCUAAUACCGGAUGUGCCCUUCGGGGGAAAGAUUUAUCGCCAUUGGAGCGGCCCGCGUCUGAUUAGCUAGUUGGUGAGGUAACGGCCCACCAAGCCGACGAUCAGUAGCUGGUCUGAGAGGAUGAUCAGCCACACUGGGACUGAGACACGGCCCAGACUCCUACGGGAGGCAGCAGUGGGGAAUCUUGCGCAAUGGGCGAAAGCCUGACGCAGCCAUGCCGCGUGAAUGAUGAAGGUCUUAGGAUUGUAAAAUUCUUUCAGCGGGGACGAUAAUGACGGUACCCGCAGAAGAAGCUCCGGCUAACUUCGUG